rnacentral:rRNA from 1 species
UCCAGCAGCUAGCUCUCUGCAACUCUCACAUAGUUGCCCACUGAAGCUAAGCAGACCUUCACCGAGUCAGUACCUGGAUGGGAGACCACAUGGGAAAGCAAGGUUGCUGCCGAAA